UGUUAUGUGGCUAAGUUGGCUAAAGCACCGGACUAUCGAUGCGGUGUCGUGGGUUCGAAUUCCUCCUGAACAA
rnacentral:tRNA from 1 species